rnacentral:rRNA from 1 species
UACGUAGGCAGCGAGCGUUGUUCGGACUUACUGGGCGUAAAGGGUGUGUAGGCGGUCCUCUAAGUUUGGUGUGAAAUCUCCCGGCUCAACCGGGAGGGUGCGCCGAAAACUGGGGGGCUAGAGUGCGGGAUGGGUAAGUGGAAUUCCUGGUGUAGCGGUGAAAUGCGUAGAUAUCUGGAGGAAUACCGGUGGCGAAGGCGGCAUCCUGGACCGACAUUGACGCUGAGGAGCGAAAGCUAGGGGAGCAAACGGG